rnacentral:tRNA from 1 species
GGAGAGCUGGCAGAGUGGUCGAAUGCGGCGGUCUUGAAAACCGUUGAGGGUUAAACCUCCGGGGGUUCGAAUCCCUCGCUCCUCCGCCA